UGGUAGCUUCCUUCCAGUGGACACCCACUU
rnacentral:piRNA from 1 species